AACGAACGCUGGCGGCGUGCCUAACACAUGCAAGUCGAACGAGAAAGGGGCUUCGGCUCCGAGUAAAGUGGCGCACGGGUGAGUAACACGUGGGUAACCUGCCUCUAAGAUUGGGAUAACUCGUCGAAAGAUGAGCUAAUACCGGAUAAGACCACAGUUCCCGCGGGAACAGGGGUCAAAGGUAGCCUCUGCUUGCAAGCUAUCACUUAGAGAUGGGCCUGCGCACCAUUAGCUAGUUGGUAGGGUAACGGCCUACCAAGGCAAAGAUGGUUAGCUGGUCUGAGAGGAUGAUCAGCCACACUGGAACUGAGACACGGUCCAGACACCUACGGGUGGCAG
rnacentral:rRNA from 1 species